GACGAACGCUGGCGGCGUGCUUAACACAUGCAAGUCGAACGAUGAAGCUAGAGCUUGCUCUGGUGAAUUAGUGGCGAACGGGUGAGUAACACGUGAGUAACCUGCCCCGAACUCUGGGAUAACUGCUGGAAACGGUAGCUAAUACUGGAUACGACCUAUGAAGGCAUCUUCUGUAGGUGGAAAGAAUUUCGGUGUCGGGAUGGACUCGCGGCCUAUCAGCUUGUUGGUGAGGUAAUGGCUCACCAAGGCGACGACGGGUAGCCGGCCUGAGAGGGUGACCGGCCACACUGGGACUGAGACACGGCCCAGACUCCUACGGGAGGCAGCAGUGGGGAAUAUUGCACAAUGGGCGCAAGCCUGAUGCAGCAACGCCGCGUGAGGGAUGACGGCCUUCGGGUUGUAAACCUCUUUUAGUAGGGAAGAAGCGAAAGUGACGGUACCUGCAGAAAAAGCACCGGCUAACUACGUGCCAGCCGCCGCGGUAA
rnacentral:rRNA from 1 species